GGACUACCGGGGUUUCUAAUCCUGUUUGCUACCCACGCUUUCGCGCAUCAGCGUCAGAACCGGUCCAGGUAGCCGCCUUCGCCACUGGUGUUCCUCCCAAUAUCUACGCAUUUCACCGCUACACUGGGAAUUCCGCUACCCCCUCCCGGACUCAAGCCUUCCAGUUUCAAAGGCAGUUCCUCAGUUGAGCCGAGGGAUUUCACCUUUGACUUAGAUAGCCGCCUACGCGCCCUUUACGCCCAAUAAUUCCGAAUAACGCUCGCCCCCUCCGUAUUACCGCGGCUGCUGGCAC
rnacentral:rRNA from 1 species